GACGAACGCUGGCGGCGUGCUUAACACAUGCAAGUCGAACGGAAAGGCCCUGCUUUUGUGGGGUGCUCGAGUGGCGAACGGGUGAGUAACACGUGAGUAACCUGCCCUUGACUUUGGGAUAACUUCAGGAAACUGGGGCUAAUACCGGAUAGGAGCUCCUGCUGCAUGGUGGGGGUUGGAAAGUUUCGGCGGUUGGGGAUGGACUCGCGGCUUAUCAGCUUGUUGGUGGGGUAGUGGCUUACCAAGGCUUUGACGGGUAGCCGGCCUGAGAGGGUGACCGGCCACAUUGGGACUGAGAUACGGCCCAGACUCCUACAGGAGGCAGCAGUGGGGAAUAUUGCACAAUGGGCGGAAGCCUGAUGCAGCAACGCCGCGUGCGGGAUGACGGCCUUCGGGUUGUAAACCGCUUUCGCCUGUGACGAAGCGUGAGUGACGGUAAUGGGUAAAGAAGCACCGGCUAACUAAGUG
rnacentral:rRNA from 1 species